UUCGCAAUGCCCGAAAGGGUGACGAAGCGACGCCGCGUGGGUGAAGAAGGCCUUCGGGUUGUAAAACCCUGUCAGGAGUUAUGAAAUGUAAGUGCGCUAAUAUCGUGCUUAUUUGACAAAGGCUCCAAAGGAAGCCACGGCUAACUCUGUGCCAGCAGCCGCGGUAAUACAGAGGUGGCGAGCGUUGUUCGGAAUUAUUGGGCGUAAAGAGCACGUAGGUGGGUUUGCAAGUCAGAUGUGAAAGCCUUCUGUUCAACGGGAGAAUUGCACCUGAAACUGCUAAUCUUGAGUAUAGGAGGGGAGAAUGGAACUUCUGGUGGAGCGGUGAAAUGCGUAGAUAUCAGAAGGAACGCCGGCGGCGAAAGCGUUUCUCUGGCCUAUUACUGACACUCAGUGUGCGAAAGCUAGGGGAGUAAACGGGAUUAGAUACCCCGGUAGUCCUAGCUGUAAACGAUGGGCACUAAGUAGA
rnacentral:rRNA from 1 species